GCAGUGGGGAAUAUUGCACAAUGGGCGCAAGCCUGAUGCAGCCAUGCCGCGUGUAUGAAGAAGGCCUUCGGGUUGUAAAGUACUUUCAGCGGGGAGGAAGGCGAUAAGGUUAAUAACCUUGUCGAUUGACGUUACCCGCAGAAGAAGCACCGGCUAACUCCGUGCCAGCAGCCGCGGUAAUACGGAGGGUGCAAGCGUUAAUCGGAAUUACUGGGCGUAAAGCGCACGCAGGCGGUCUGUCAAGUCAGAUGUGAAAUCCCCGGGCUUAACCUGGGAACUGCAUUUGAAACUGGCAGGCUAGAGUCUUGUAGAGGGGGGUAGAAUUCCAGGUGUAGCGGUGAAAUGCGUAGAGAUCUGGAGGAAUACCGGUGGCGAAGGCGGCCCCCUGGACAAAGACUGACGCUCAGGUGCGAAAGCGUGGGGAGCAAACAGGAUUAGA
rnacentral:rRNA from 1 species